UUAAUUUGAUUUCUCAAAACAGUAGUGUAUCAGACAGCAUAACAUUUCAUCAACAUGUUUUGUUAUGGGCUUCUGACAGCCUUACCUGCAAAGUGGUUGCCCAAAAUACAGUGCUGCCGAAGCAAAAGAAUAAAGAUUCACAAUGGGUGAGAGAUGACGAAUGGAACCUAUGCUUAUAGGUCCCAAAUGUAAGCUCGGUAACUGCACUCGCUUGGAGUUCAGCUGGAACUAAUAAUGAUCCUUCCGCAGGUUCACCUACGGAAA
rnacentral:misc_RNA from 1 species